rnacentral:rRNA from 1 species
GGAGGGAGCUAGCGUUGUUCGGAAUUACUGGGCGUAAAGCGUACGUAGGCGGUUAUUCAAGUCAGAGGUGAAAGCCCGGGGCUCAACCCCGGAACUGCCUUUGAAACUAGAUAGCUAGAAUCUUGGAGAGGUCAGUGGAAUUCCGAGUGUAGAGGUGAAAUUCGUAGAUAUUCGGAAGAACACCAGUGGCGAAGGCGACUGACUGGACAAGUAUUGACGCUGAGGUACGAAAGCGUGGGGAGCAAACAGGAUUAGAUACCCUGGUAGUCCACGCCGUAAACGAUGAUAACUAGCUGUCCGGGCACUUGGUGCCUGGGUGGCGCAGCUAACGCAUUAAGUUAUCCGCCUGGGGAGUACGGUCGCAAGAUUA